rnacentral:rRNA from 1 species
AUGGAGCCGCUGCUCAGAACAGAUUCGGCGCACGAAACAAGCCAGGAUUGCUUCGGGCCGGACGUCCUCAUCAGCGAGGAGGACGAAACCCGUUUUGCCCAACGUUUGCGUCCCAACAUUCCUCUUCCUCGUACUGACCUGCCACUUUAUAUGUCAUGGGAGGAAGAAGACAAGAUAGAAGCGCGCCUUGGACGCCUUCGCAUCACUUAUUACAAGGAUGUGAAGCCGGAGUGCGCACGUGAACGUGAGCUUAAGGAACCAGAAGAAUACACUGAUGCUGAACUUGGUGAGGAGUUGUACUUUAAGCGGUUAGAGGAGGAUGAAAGUUUUGAGUGGUUCGUCCAUCCUGAUGACACCUAUAAAGCUGGAUUGAAUGACUACCAACGGAUUGCCCCUCGUAAUUUUCUGCCUCAUAGCGGUCGGAACCUGUACCGCUAUCACGAUGAGUACCGCUCACGUUAUCAUACAUAUAAAAUUGAUGCUGUUUAUGUCAAUGGUUAG